UGGGGAAUAUUGGACAAUGGGCGAAAGCCUGAUCCAGCAAUGCCGCGUGAGUGAUGAAGGCCUUAGGGUUGUAAAGCUCUUUUACCCGGGAUGAUAAUGACAGUACCGGGAGAAUAAGCCCCGGCUAACUCCGUGCCAGCAGCCGCGGUAAUACGGAGGGGGCUAGCGUUGUUCGGAAUUACUGGGCGUAAAGCGCACGUAGGCGGCUUUGUAAGUUAGAGGUGAAAGCCCGGAGCUCAACUCCGGAAUUGCCUUUAAGACUGCAUCGCUUGAACGUCGGAGAGGUAUGUGGAAUUCCGAGUGUAGAGGUGAAAUUCGUAGAUAUUCGGAAGAACACCAGUGGCGAAGGCGACAUACUGGACGACUGUUGACGCUGAGGUGCGAAAGCGUGGGGAGCAAACA
rnacentral:rRNA from 1 species